CCUACGGGUGGCAGCAGUGGGGAAUAUUGGGCAAUGGGCGCAAGCCUGACCCAGCACCGCCGCGUGAAGGAAGAAGGCUUUCGGGUUGUAAACUUCUUUUGUCAGGGAAGAGUAGAAGACGGUACCUGACGAAUAAGCCACGGCUAACUACGUGCCAGCAGCCGCGGUACUCCGUAGGUGGCAAGCGUUGUCCGGAUUUACUGGGUGUAAAGGGCGUGUAGCCGGGUUGACAAGUCAGAUGUGAAAUCCUGCGGCUUAACCGCAGAACUGCAUUUGACACUGUUGAUCUUGAGUACUGGAGAGGCAGAUGGAAUUCCUAGUGUAGCGGUGAAAUGCGUAGAUAUUAGGAGGAACACGAGUGGCGAAGGCGGUCUGCUGGACAGCAACUGACGGUGAGGCGCGAAAGCGUGGGGAGCAAACAGGAUUAGAUACCCCGGUAGUC
rnacentral:rRNA from 1 species